AGUGUGUUGUGUUUUGCGUCCUUCUUGUUUUGUGUACCUGUUUCUUCCUUGCUCUGUGUGUUCAAUUUUUUGUUUUAUCUAUUUCUUCCUUGUCUUAUUUAUCUCUUCCUUGCUCGGUGUCUAAUCCUUUGCUACAUCUAUGCCUUCUGUGUGCUUUGUGUGCCUGUCUUCCUUGCUUCGUGGAUCUAUUUCCUUGUGAUUCUACUCCUUUGUCACCUCUAUUUCUUCCUUGCUUUGUGUGUCCAUGUCUUUCGUGUUUUAUGUAUCUACUUCCUCCUCGUGUGUCUAAUUCUUUGUUACAUCUAUUUCUUCCUUGCUUUGUGUGUCUAUAUAUAUAUAUCUUCCUUGUUUUAUGUAUCUACUUCCUCCUUCUAAUCUUUGUCACCUCUAUUUCUUCCUUGCUUUGUGUGUCCAUGUCUUCCUUGUUUUAUGUAUCUACUUCCUCCUCGUGUGUCCAAUUCUUUGUUACAUCUAUUUCUUCCUUGCUUUGUGUGUCCAUGUCUUUCGUGUUUUAUGUAUCUACUUCCUCCUCGUGUGUCUAAUUCUUUGUUACAUCUAUUUCUUCCUUGCUUUGUGUGUCCAUGUCUUCCUUGUUUUAUGUAUCUACUUCCUCCUUCUAAUCUUUGUCACCUCUAUUUCUUCCUUGCUUUGUGUGUCCAUGUCUUCCUUGUUUUAUGUAUCUACUUCCUCGUGUGUCUAAUUCUUUGUUACAUCUAUUUCUUCCUUACUUUGUGUGUCUAAGUCUUCCUUGUUUUAUGUACCUACUUCCUUGUUUUACGUAUGUAUUUCUCCUUUGCGUUGUGUGUCGUAAGUGUCUUCUCUGUCUGCACUGUCUCACCUAUCCCCACGUUUCUCUUGCAUGUUUUUCUUGUAGAGCUUUGAGCUUUGUUAUAUUUUCUCUGGUGCCUAUGGGGUCUGCCUUGUCUUAAUGAGCUGUGGUUUUCUGUUUUUUCUAUCUGUUUGCUAGUUCUCUUAGCUCUCUUUCACUCCUGUCUUUCCUGACUCGCCUUUGGGUCACAUGUUGUAUGCAUGUGUCUUUUUCUUGUGCUCACCCCACUUGUUCUUUGUGCCAGUUCUGUUUGUCAGUCCUUCGACUCACCAUUUCACAUUUUUCUUUCUGCUGUUUUUCCAUCCUUAGCACUUUCUUGUUUACAUUUCCUUCCUGCCUUUAUUGGGCCACUUUCUCUUUUUUCAUCCUUUGUGUUUGUGUCUCUUUGCUGUUGGUGAUUUCUUAUCUCAGCAUGAUUCUGUUGCUUGUUUCCUUCUUUCUGUUCACUUUGAGCAUUUAUGUCUGUCUGUCUGUCUGUCUGUCUGUCUGUCUCUCUCUCUCUCUCUCGUAUUCUAAAGUAAUCCUCUCUUGGAUAUUUCUUUGUGUAUGUACAUAUGUGUGUGUGCAUGUGUGUCAUGUGUGACGGGCGUCAUAGCCCCUUCCCAAUAGGUCCAGAAUGUUACCUGUGGAGUCGUUCCUCACACCAGUCUGCCCUGCGAAAUAAUCUAAGACAAAAUACAUCAUUUCGUCUGUCCGGUCAGAAUUGAAGUGGAUCUGAAGUGAACACAUGUUAAAAAGCCCAAAGUGGAAGACAGAUGUUUUGUGACUUGGGACUUAAGGACCAAAGUACAUACAUGGCCCAUCUUGAGCUGGCUCGACAGAAUGCUGACAACUCAAAGGAGAGGGACUGUUUCUACAGGACGCCUGGGACGUCUAAGAACCAGGAGCUACAUCAUAAGACAGAAAACCUGAGCUAAGUCCAAGCAUAAAACCCGAGGACCCAAUCCUAUGUGGACAAAAUGUCUAAGAGAUAAAGGCCCAUGGCCCAGAACUUUGGAAGGAUAGAAAUCUCAAGAUCAAGAAGAUGAGGCCCCCAACCCCAGCACCCUUUCCAUUUCUUAUAUUUCUAUUUAAGCUGGCUUCCCUUGAGGAUGUAAUUUUCAUUGUUGUCAUUCCCCAUAAAGGAAUAUAUUGUUAGGUUGAUAGUAUUGUGCAGGGGUCUGUUUUAAACUUGAUCUUAGCCAUUUGUUAAAUUUUUGAUGUUUUAACUUCCAUUUCUCUUCACAUCUGCUCCACUUGAGACAAGAGAACAAAAUCCAGUCAGUAUAUAUAUAUAUAUAGAUAUAGUCUGACUUUUGCUAUUCCCUGAGGAUACAGAUACCCAUACAGAUACUGUGCUUCCACUCUCCCUCUCUCAGAAGCCCUAGGCUGACAAGACAAGGAAAACAUCAGGCUGUUAGGGGAAAACAAUGUCAGGCUAUCUAGAGAAAAUAUGAAGAGUUGUUCCAGACCAGUGAGAAGAAUUAGACGAGCAAUAUGCAGAUGUGCCAACCUUCUGAGAAGCACCAGCCAACAUCACCUUCCUUCUUUGGGCUUAGGUGAGCAGGGCGUGGAAUUUCUAAUAAUGGUUUGGGGACAAAAUGAGGUCUGAACCCCCUGCUCAUAGUAGUGGCCGAGUAAUUUGACGUAUUUCAUCAAAAGAAAUCCUGGGUUUAACACUCACCUUUAGGCUUAAUGAUGAGAGAAUCUGGGGACUACUUAACAGGCUUAAUUUUUAUCGUGCCUUCCUCUUCCCCUGUAAGGGGAAGUCAACUUAAAGACAUACAGUGAAAAACUAACAUGCUGACAGCACAUUGGCAAUCAUGCAUAGCGAGCAUCUGAAAUCAUGAUUUGAGUUUUCCUAUAAGGCAGGCAUAAGACUGUAAGUACCUGAGGUUUUGUGGGCCACUGGUCUCAGUUGCAUAUUUUUCUUUUUAAAAAACACCUUUUCAAAAGGCAAGAGUCACCCACUGACUGGCCCAUUGCCGGUACUUGCUUAAGCCCUCAUAUAAAUAAAUGCCAUUUAUAUGUCUGAGUAACAUUAAUUUCCUUCUUUAUGCAUAUUUUUAUGCUGAGUACUUGGGAUGUGAUGUUUAACUGUGGUCACUCCCGGUAACAAGAUCUUACCAGGUAACCUGAAAAUGUAUGAAUACGUAAACCAUGAAGCACAUGACAACUUCCAAGUCAGUGUUGACUAUGAGUGUGUAUUAUAUAGUAGCCGAAUUCUACAGUUCUAUGUGCUUUAGGCACAAAGAUUGCUGUAGGAAUAACGAAUAAAAACAUAUAAACUUAAUGAGGCUUGAAUGAAGGAUACCCCAUCUACUUAAGGGCAGUGUGUUUCUUCUACUGCUCUGGUGAGGCUCAGUAAGUUGUAUUAUACCGGGUAGCAGAAGAGAAAGCACACGGAAACUGAGUUUUAAACUACAAAAUAGGUCACAGAUACAGGUGAUUGGUUACCCUAUUCGGAUCACCGUCUAAUUUCCAAAUACCAUGUUCAUUCAGCACUGGAGAUAAUAACAAAGAGGGACAUUACACAGAAGUAAAAUUUAUGAAAGAAUGUGUUCAAGUGCUUUGUAAAAUAAAGCAUUGUACAGUUAUUAAUUGCUCCCUGUGUGCAGAUGAAUGAAUGCUACCUAACCUCGUGUAUCAGGAAUUGUUUUGGGUGCAUGAAAUAUUCAUGAGUAAGUGUCAUGAAUUGUUUGCACCCCGUAGUAUUCAUUUACAAGGAAUGAGAUAAUGCUUAACGCUUAAUUUAACCAGUCAAGACUUUAGUGAUGAGGGCAUGGUAAUACAUGUCAUGGAGAAACACGUUAUCACUGUGUACUUUAAGGCAGUUCACAAGUGUAAGACGUGACACACUUUCUAUAGAAAUAAAGCUGCCUAUAAAAUAGGCGUGGUCUACAAACUUUUCAUUGUAUUUUUUUUGGCCCACAAUGAGAAUAGUAGAAAUAGUUAACACACUGGGAGUGCUAGCAUAUGCUCUGAGCUCAAAGUAGCUGAAGCAGCAGGACCACUUGAGCCCAGAAAUGAGGCCAGCCUCAAUGAGAUCAAUCUCAAACCUAGAGGCAAAAUAUUGUCUACUAAAUAUAUACUCUCUUUUAUGGGUGCUAGAGAGAUACACGGACUUACAUUUCAUUGUGUCCACAGCUAAGAGUAAUAUAUAUUGGCAUUUUAUGAACUCUGAGGUACCAUAUAACAAUUCAUUUUCUUAUUUGGUGCCAAUUUCCAGGCUUUUAAAAUUCUGCCACAUUUAUUAUACUGUGAAAAUAAAAUAAAUAGGUGACUGUGGAACACUGAAUAUAUGAGGCAUUCAGCAUUUGAUGACUACCGCACUGAAUGGCAAUCAUUUAUUAUAAAACAGUGCCCUUGCUAGGCAUUGGGAUGCGAAGACCAUUCUUAAUGUCCUGUGUAUCUAAAGAAAUUGUAUACAAGAUUAAUUUAUAAUUUGUAAGCUGCCAUAUAAUGCAAUGUUUGCCUAGUGAGCAAUGACUACUUGCUUUUAUCCCCAGACAUGGCACCUGGAAAUACAAAAAUUCAUUACCAUUAUUAAUCCACAACAGAGAUCUGUGUGGCGCUUUAUGAAGUCUACAGUUCUAUAAAGUCAGGACUUAACCGUUGGCUUUAUCAGGGAACACUGAUUACUUUCUAAGUUUCAUAAUGGUUGAAUGCUUAUCACCCAAAGGCACCUAAUAAUAAUUUUACUGUGCUAUGUGUUGAGUGAACCAAGAUUGCUUUGUAGCAUUAUGUAGUACUCACAGGAAUAAAAUCUAGACCAAAGCCUCAUUUCACUUCAGUGAGGAAAUGAAAACAGAAAAAAAAAAAUGGAUUUGUAUAAGGCAGUGUGCUAAGUGUUGCCCUAAAUGGGCUAUCCUGUCUAGAAGGAUGCUUCCCGGUGGGCUUGACUGAGGAGAUGGAAAUUUACCAAUGAGAGGUACUUUUUCUUAAAUGUUGAAUGCUGCUGCUGGAGAUGAAUUACAAACACCUUGCCAGUAAAGGUGUGACAAUAUAGGGUCAGAGUCAUGUAAUCCCAGAGCAUGGAUAUCAAUGAGGGAACAGAAAGGAAGGGGCCAGAGCAUCAGAUGCUACGUAUUUAGUGUGGUCUAGAACCUCUCAAAUUAGAAGUACCGGCUGGUACCAAGCAUGCAGAGCACAACAGCUAAUUAAAUAUGGUAACCUAGGUCCUAAAACUAAAGUGUCGGGUGGACCUAGUAUAUAUAUCACUGAUCAUAGAGGAGAUGGUCUCAUACAACCCAGGCUGGUUUUAAUUGGUGAAUCUUCUGUCACAGCUUCUCAAGUGCUGAGAUUACAGAUGUGUGCACUCAUGCCCAGCCUGUAGAAUGUAUCUGAUUACUGAGUGAAUAAUAGUUUUUAAAGAAUAUUUUAUGUAUGUUGAGUACACUGUUGCUGUGUUAUGACAUACCAGAAGAGGGCGCCAGAUCUAUUACAGAUGGUUGUGAGCCGCCAUGUGGUUGCUGGGAACUACACUCAGUACCUCUGGAAGAGCAGUCAGGGCUCUUAACCGCUGAGCCAUCUCUCCAGUCUCCGGAAUAAAUAUUUUAAAAUAAAUAUGUUAAUGGAUGUUUGCUUGAAGGUGCUAUGCUUGAUGGAUUAGUUAAAUAGGUGUGGCCUAGAAGACUCACUGACUGGUUUGGCGUAAAGAUUUUGAAAACUCAACAAAGGCCAAGAUUCCUUUAACAUAAAAUGGAGAUGUUCCUAGCUAAUUAAGGAAGCUCCAAAGGUCAUUUCCUCAUUGGCCUAGCUUGAAGCUAGGAUAAGAGGACUUAAGGUCUCUGCUUUAAUUCAUUACCGGCUCUCCUUUCCUUACAGUUGAAGUAUUUCAAAGGAGAAUCAAGACAAAUAAUUCUAAACAUAUUUGCUCAUUGCCUGGCUCAGAGACAUGUGAGCAAUAAGAAAAUACUGUCAUACUCACACUUUUAACCCGAGGGUGAGUAAAGUGCAGUUCUAAGUACUCAAAAGAACAAAGACAUUUAAAGGAUGUAAGCCAAAGUGUACUUUACCUCAGUAGUUCAUGAGGGGACUGCAGUAACACAAGAGACUACAGCUCUCACUUUAACUGGGGAGAAAAAAAAAAAUCAAGAUGUGGAGGAGGAGAGUUAAAUAAAAAUAAGUUGUUCUUCUUAUGGGCCUGCUUGGUAGAGUGGAAAUAAGAGAGGUUCUCUUUCCUCACUCAGUUCCACACAUUGCGGAAGAUGCUACUGGAUGCUAAGUGAAACACCUCUAUUCCAAAGGGCAGGCACUUAGUGUGACUUACAGAUGCCUCCCAAAGCAGAGAGAUGCUCUUUAUGAAAAAAAUAUUAGCUCAAACAUUUUCUAGCCUGAAGGACACUUGCCUUUGAUUGCCUCAUCUGUUCUACAAGCAUUUGCAUGUCUCUUCUUAAGCCUUCACUUGGCUCCUGAGACGUGAAAAUAAAGGAAGCAAACAGAUUUCGCUUCCCAGGGAGGUGCUGGAUUUUGGGGUCUGCUUUCUGGAUAGUGGCACAACUUAAUCCCCAAGUAAUAUGUAAUUAAGCCCUCGUCCUCAUCUCUUCUCCGGCCGCUGCAAUGAGUAGGAAGCUGGGUUUUGUAGCAAGUCUGACCCUAAAGUGACAAAAGCCCUCCAUGCAAAGGAGCUCAAUGUUCUAGCCCAAGUCCUAUUUUACCUAUGACUGUGACUACCAGUACCAGUCAGGAGGGAUGGCCAUGUAAAUUCCACAAUCUUAGCUCCUUUGCAUUAUCCUGUGGCAAACAACCUGUUUUCGAGCUGCAGCAGGUUAUGAAAUACAUUGGCCUGUGUUCAGCCUUUCACCUGUUUACAUGCUAAUGCAUGUAAAUUGCCUGACUGGGUCUCUUUCGUAAAGCAUCAGUUAGCACACAGUAAUUUUAGAAACGUUCUCCUUACUAGAAAGUGUAUAUAUUCAAGGCGGUUUGCAAUGGUAAAAUAAUGCCAGUAGAUGAAAAUAACAUUAAAGUUCAACAUGCUUGCAUAAAAUUUAAGCAUAAUAAAAUUGAAAAUUGGAGGAAAGGCCAAAUCGAAAGAACUUGGAAAAAACAAAACCCAAAAAUGCCUUCUACAGGAAGGACAGACUGCGCUUUGACCCUUUCGAUUUUUCUUUCACUCACAGAGGGUGGGACAGGAGGACGAGUGAAAGAAAGGGUCAAAGCUAUGUGGACUGCUUUGUUUUUAAUGCAGUUCCACAAAACUGGUAUUAAUUCGCUAAAUGUUUCUGAAAAUGUAUUUUCAUCUAAAUGGCUAUCAGCUAAGCCUUGAUGGGAAUGAAAUAUAUUAGUUCAAUCAAUGUGACCUCUUUAUCCAAGUUGCCUUAAAGCUGAAGUCACAAUUUGCUGUAAAGGUUCUUAUUCACUGUGGCUCACGCAUACUUUCAAAGUAUCUAGACUUUACUCAGCGAGCCAAUCACGAAAUCCUCAAACAGAGAAGGAAACACAAAAGGGACAGAAUAGAUGGAGCCAGUUCGAAGAGGUCUGGUAGUUCAAAAUAUCUUGCUUUUCAUUUUCAUUAAAAAUCUGGUAUCAGAAGUGUUACUAAUGUUAGCUUUUAAU
rnacentral:lncRNA from 1 species